rnacentral:rRNA from 1 species
GACGAACGCUGGCGGCGUGCUUAACACAUGCAAGUCGAACGCUGAAGCCCACUUCGGUGGGUGGAUGAGUGGCGAACGGGUGAGUAACACGUGGACAAUCUGCCCUGCACUUCGGGAUAAGCCUUGGAAACGAGGUCUAAUACCGGAUAGGACACUGCAUCGCAUGGUGUGGUGUGGAAAGCGUUUAAUGCGGUGUGGGAUGAGUCCGCGGCCUAUCAGCUUGUUGGUGGGGUGAUGGCCUACCAAGGCGACGACGGGUAGCCGGCCUGAGAGGGUGACCGGCCACACUGGGACUGAGACACGGCCCAGACUCCUACGGAGGCAGCAGUGGGGAAUCUUGCGCAAUGGGCGGAAGCCUGACGCAGCAACGCCGCGUGGGGGAUGACGGCCUUCGGGUUGUAACCUCUUUCGGCAUCGCGAAGGCUCUCGUGUUCGGGAGUUGACGGUAGGUGCAGAAGAAGCACCGGCUAACUACGUGCCAGCAGCCGC